rnacentral:rRNA from 1 species
AUAUACGACCGUACCGCAAACCGACACUGGUGCGCGAGAUGAGUAUUCUAAGGCGCUUGAGAGAACUCAGGAGAAGGAACUCGGCAAAUUGACACCGUAACUUCGGAAGAAGGUGUGCCCUAUUAGUGUGUAGUGAACAACGAAGCAUGAAUGGGUUGCAAAAAAUCGGUGGCUGCGACUGUUUAUUAAAAACACAGCACUCUGCAAACACGAAAGUGGACGUAUAGGGUGUGACGCCUGCCCGGUGCUGGAAGAUUAAAUGAUGGGGUGCAAGCUCUUGAUUGAAGUCCCAGUAAACGGCGGCCGUAACGAUAACGGUCCUAAGGUAGCGAAAUUCCUUGUCGGGUAAGUUCCGACCUGCACGAAUGGCGUAACGAUGGCCACACUGUCUCCUCCUGAGACUCAGCGAAGUUGAAAUGUUUGUGAUGAUGCAAUCUCCCCGCGGAAAGACGGAAAGACCCCAUGAACCUUUACUGUAGCUUUGUAUUGGACUUUGAACAGAUCUGUGUAGGAUAGGUGGGAGGCUUUGAAGCAGGGUCGCUAGAUCUUGUGGAGCCAACGUUGAAAUACCACCCUGGUGUGUUUGAGGUUCUAACCUAGGUCCAUUAUCUGGAUCGGGGACAGUGCAUGGUAGGCAGUUUGACUGGGGCGGUCUCCUCCCAAAGCGUAACGGAGGAGUUCGAAGGUACGCUAGUUACGGUCGGACAUCGUGACGAUAGUGCAAUGGCAUAAGCGUGCUUAACUGCGAGACUGACAAGUCGAGCAGAUGCGAAAGCAGGACAUAGUGAUCCGGUGGUUCUGUAUGGAAGGGCCAUCGCUCAACGGAUAAAAGGUACUCUGGGGAUAACAGGCUGAUACCGCCCAAGAGUCCAUAUCGACGGCGGUGUUUGGCACCUCGAUGUCGGCUCAUCUCAUCCUGGGGCUGUAGCCGGUCCCAAGGGUAUGGCUGUUCGCCAUUUAAAGAGGUACGUGAGCUGGGUUUAAAACGUCGUGAGACAGUUUGGUCCCUAUCUUCCGUGGGCGCUGCAGAUUUGAGGAAGCCUGCUCCUAGUACGAGAGGACCGGAGUGGACACACCUCUGGUGUAUCGGUUGUCACGCCAGUGGCAUUGCCGAGUAGCUAAGUGUGGAAGAGAUAACCGCUGAAAUCAUCUAAGCGGGAAACUCGCUUCAAGAUGAGAUCUGCCGGGGCCUUGAGCCCCCUAAAGAGUCGUUCAAGACCAGGACGUUGAUAGGUCAGGUGUGGAAGC